rnacentral:miRNA from 1 species
GAAGAGUGAUCAUUUAGAGAC